AUGCUGGUUGUUGCUGUGAAGGAGGUUCUGGAGGUGGAUGAGGUGCUGGUUGUUGCUGUAAAGGAGGUUCUGGUGGUGGAUGAGAUGCUGGUUGUUGCUGUGAAGGAGGUUCUGGUGGUGGAUGAGAUGCUAAUUGUUGCUGUGAAGGAGGUUCUGGUGGUGGUUGAGGUUUUGGUCGCCGUGGAGGAGGUUCUGGUGGUGGAUGAAAUGCUGGUUGUUGCUGUGAAGGAGGUUCUGGAAGUGGAUGAGGUGUUGGUUGUUGCUGUAAAGGAGGUUCUGGUGGUGGAUGAUAUGCUGGUUGUUGCUGUGAAGGAGGUUCUGGUGGUGGAUGAGGGUCUGAUUGCCAUGAAGGAGGUUCUGGUAGUGGAUGAGGUGCUGGUUGUUGCUGUGAAGGACGUUCUGGUGGUGGAUGAGGUGCUUGUUGUUGCUGUGAAGGAGGUUCUGGUAGUGGAUGAGAUGCUGGUUGUUGCUGUGAAGGUGGUUCUGGUGGUGGAUGAGGGUCUGAUUGCCCUGAAGGAGGUUCUGGUAGUGGAUGAGGUGCUGGUUGUUGCUGUGGAGGAGGUUCUGGUGUUGGAUGAGAUGCUGGUUGUUGCUGUGAAGGAGGUUCUGGUGGUGGAUGAAGUUCUGGUUGCUGCUGUGAAGGAGGUUCUGGUGGUGGAUGAGGGUCUGGUUGCCAUGAAGGAGGUUCUGGUAGUGGAUGAGGUUCUGGUUGCCGUGGUGAAGGAGGUUCUGGUGGUGGAUGAGGUUCUCAUUGCCAUGAAGGAGGUUCUGGUGGUGGAUGAGGUGCUGGUUGCUGUGAAGGAGGUUCUGGUGGUGGAUGAGGUUCUCAUUGCCAUGAAGGAGGUUCUGGUGGUGGAUGAGGUGCUGGUUGCUGUGAAGGAGGUUCUGGUGGUGGAUGAGGUUCUCAUUGCCAUGAAGGAGGUUCUGGUGGUGGAUGAGGUGCUGGUUGCUGUGAAGGAGGUUCUGGUGGUGGAUGAGGUUCUGGUUGCUGUGAAGAAGGUUCUGGUGGUGGAUGAGGUGCUGGUUGCUGUAAAGGAGAUUCUGGUGGUGGAUGAGGUUCUGGUUGCUGUGAAGGAGGUUCUGGUGGUGUAUGAGAUUCUGGUUGCUGUGAAAGGAGGUUCUGGUGGUGGAUGAGGUUCUCAUUGCCAUGAAGGAGGUUCUGGUGGUGGAUGAGGUGCUGGUUGCUGUGAAGGAGGUUCUGGUGGUGGAUGAGGUUCUGGUUGCUGUGGAGGAGGAUCUGGUGGU
ensembl:lncRNA